CGGGUAGCGCAACGCAACUCUAUACGAUAUUUGACUCAAUCAGAAAUCAGAAGAACAACACGCCAAAAGGGCUAGACUUGCUUGGAUGAAGUUCUUGAAGGUUUGGAAGGUGAUGGAAGGUGAUGGAAGGUUGUGAUUUGCUUGUGUUAGGUAAUAUUUAAGGUUUUGAUCAGAGUUGGAGGGAAAGGCUCAAGUUCUUGGAGGAAUCUUGGAGCCUUCUUGGAGAAAUCUUGAAGCCUUCUUGGAGUGUUUCUUGGAUAAACCAGACGAAAGUUAUGCUAUAGGUAAGGUCUUGGUGUUUUGUUUUUUGGAAGGUGUUUUGGAUGUUCUAAAGGUAAGGUUUACUUGAGGAUUAGUGUAGGAAUUGAAGGAUGUUAUUGGUUUGAAUGUUAAUUUUGAAUCACCUAAGAUAGGUUGGCCAAAAGCUAGGUUCAAGAUUCUUAAAUUGUUCUUGCUUAAGGAUUCAUGGUUCUUAAUAACAGUUGUAUUUUUCAAAUAAUAAAGUUAACAUUUUUUUACAUUGUAGAAAUUCAAUCCUUAAAAUUUGAGAAAUUUAAAUUGAUUUCAAUUUUUAAAUACAACUCUAUUGAAAGUACAACGACCUUGUUAAAAACAUUUGAAGCAUAGAGUCAUUAGAAAAUUCAACACACCUAUUCAAGUUUUUGUUUAAGAACUAAAAUAACUUCACCUCAGAUCCUCAUUCCUCAAGGUAUGACUCUUCAAAUGAGAACAUACAUUUUGCAGAGGAUGAUGAAAAGUAUAUCAUAAUUGAUGAAAAACAUUGGUAACAAAGCUCAAACAAUGCUUGGUAUUUUAUGGAAAUGUAAAAACUAACACCUCACGGUUUUUAUUUUUCUACAGAAUCCUAGGCCGUAGGGUCUAAGUUGUAUUAGAGAAAAACUAAGGACCUUAAUUCACAAUUUCAAUGGUGCUCCUUUGGAAUGUCAAGUUCUUUGAAUACUGGACUAUCAACUCCAACACCCAUAGCGUUAAGGCCAUUGUCAAC
rnacentral:lncRNA from 1 species